rnacentral:lncRNA from 1 species
GUUUGUUUAUCACAGAUGAAAAAGAACAAAGACAAAAACAAAACUAUUUUGGUGCUUUAAAACAUCAUGAUCGGUAACCAGGUUCUACUCUACACAAGAAAACUUUCUAGGAUCGCACCCUCCCAAACGGCAUGCUAACAGUUGUUUCUUGAUCGAAGAUAUCUGUGAUCAAACAAGUUCCAGAAAUGCAGGAUUGGACCGAGCAAGGCAGCAAACCCUGCAAUUUGCUUUUGAAUCCUACAACGGAGUACUUGGAUGGAUGGGGUGGUUGCAGGAUGCCUUUGAAGGAUACUUGUGAAGGUGGAACCACCGUGGCUUGGAAGCUUCGCAGAUGUCGCUGUCUCCAAGGAUCAAUUGCAAACACAAUGACCUGAUGAGCAGAGAAAUCCCAUCUUAGAAAAAAAGAGAGAGCUGAGUCUACAGAGCCGCUACUUAGGAGUCUGACUUCAUAAUCAAUUGUGAAAUGUGGAAUAUAAUAGAAAUUUAAAUUCUAUCUACAUUAUGUUAGGGUUAAUAAAAAAAAAGGGCAUA